AUUGAACGCUGGCGGCAUGCCUUACACAUGCAAGUCGAACGGUAACAGGUCUUCGGAUGCUGACGAGUGGCGAACGGGUGAGUAAUACAUCGGAACGUGCCUAGUAGUGGGGGAUAACUACUCGAAAGAGUGGCUAAUACCGCAUGAGAUCUACGGAUGAAAGCAGGGGAUCGCAAGACCUUGUGCUACUAGAGCGGCCGAUGGCAGAUUAGGUAGUUGGUGGGAUAAAAGCUUACCAAGCCGACGAUCUGUAGCUGGUCUGAGAGGACGAUCAGCCACACUGGGACUGGGACACGGCCCAGACUCCUACGGGAGGCAGCAGUGGGGAAUUUUGGACAAUGGGCGCAAGCCUGAUCCAGCAAUGCCGCGUGCAGGAUGAAGGCCUUCGGGUUGUAAACUGCUUUUGUACGGAACGAAAAGCCCUGGGUUAAUACCCUGGGGCUAAUGACGGUACCGUAAGAAUAAGCACCGGCUAACUACGUGCCAGCCGCCGCGGUAAUAC
rnacentral:rRNA from 1 species